rnacentral:misc_RNA from 1 species
GAUGAAGAACGUAGCGAAAUGCGAUAAGUAAUGUGAAUUGCAGAAUUCAGUGAAUCAUCGAAUCUUUGAACGCACAUUGCGCCCCUUGGUGUUCCGAGGGGCAUGCCUGUUCGAGCGUCAUUAUAACCCCUCAAGCUCAGCUUGGUGUUGGGGCCUGCUGCACUGGCAGCCCUUAAAAUCAGUGGCGGCGCCAUCUGGCUCUAAGCGUAGUAAUUCUUCUCGCUAUGGAGUCCUGGUGGAUGCUUGCCAUCAACCCCCAAUUUUUCUAUGGUUGACCUCGGAUCAGGUAGGGAUACCCGCUGAACUUAAGCAUAUCAAUAAGCGGAGGA